UCCGCCACCGCCGUCGUAUUCGUCCAACGUCACCAUGUGCUCCAUCGGUAUCAAGGUAUUCAUCCACCACAACCAAAUUUUGACGACUCAGGCGCGAUUCUCUGUCAACUAUCUGCACUAAAGGAUAUGCUUGAUCAGGUGAACGAUGAAAUAGAGGCGAACUUCCAAAUCACGAGAGAGAUUGAAUCAGAAAUUGUCAAGUGUUCUGAAUUCGAGAGAGCUUUGGCAUCUAGUGAGUCGGAGCUGAUGAAGACCGAUGGACUAAUUUUUUACCCUGACAUGGUAAUCUUUUUCACUCUGCAAGCUAAGUUUCGCAUGUUACUAGUGAUCAUAUUAUCUUCAUUUGUAUUCUAAUAGGUUAUUACAGGACCUACCAUAGAUAAAGAGAAAUGUGACUGGGUUACAAAGAUAUCCACCCAAGCUAUAAAGUGUGGUAUUUGACAUUAUUAUCUCACUAAUUGUUAAAAAGUAACUACAUAAGUUACAUAAAUUUACCUUUGUUUUAGCUGUUAAUUUUGUGCUUAUGAAAGUGAGAUAUAUAGGAGGGAACUAGUGGAUUUGUGGAAUAAAAGUCGAUGGAAGUUUCCUUAAUAUGCUACUUUUUGUUUCAGAAGCAAUAACAUAUAUAUGCAGGAUUGAAAUGCUCUUUACUUAAUCCUUAUCAACAAAUUCAAAGUAUUUAAAGAACAAAGAUUCUCAAGGUAGUACAACUGUUGAUUACAAAGAUCAGAAAAUUCCACUUUGGCGAAUAUUCAGGUAACCGUUACAAAAAUGGUCUCUAUUGUAGGAAAACAUGACAAAAAUGGUCUUUUAAGAAACUGUUAAAAUGGUCCAUGUAGCAGGGAUAUAUUACAAUGACAAUUGUUCAAGAUGGAUAACCAAGAGGAGCAAAUAUGCAAAGUUCAUCUUCAUGUCAACUUUUGUGUAUCUUUCCGACAAGUAUUAAGUUUGAUAUUUUGAGUAAUUACUAGCAAAAUUUUAGACUUAUUAUAGCUUUUUGGAAUAUAUUUUUGUAUUAAAUAUUGAGAAUAUUAAGUCAGACAAGUUAAGUAUUAAUUUAAUUAAUGUUUUUGUGUUUUGCAUUUAUUAUCUUAAUUGUUUUUAUUAUUUUAUAUUCCAUUUAAAUUUAUGAAAAAAACAUUAGAUCUAAUUUUGAAAUAUAAAUGUUUUGUAGUAAAAAAAGUGCCGCUAAAACAUAAAAAUUGUUUUUAUUUUAGCAAUUAUAUAGUUGCAUAAGAAAAGUGUCACAACCAAAAGUGGUACAGUAGCACAAAAGAAGUGUCAGUAAAACCUAAAAAAAGCUGCAGCCACACAACAAAAAAAUGCUACUAAAAGCCUUUAGUGGGAGCGUUUGUAGUAGCAUUUUUUUUGUGUCGCUGAUUGCCAAUGAUGUUUUUAGUGGCACAUUUUUGGUUUUCGGUGGCACAUUUUUUGUGCCAUUAAACGUCGUUUUAUUUGUAGUGUUGGAGCUACAGUCGACAGCCACCCAUCCUGCUUGCGGCCACCGCUCACCUGCUGCUGCUGAUAAGUUCCGGCCUCCCAUAUCUCUCCAAAUCAUCGUUCCCGUCAAACGGAAGCUAAAACCAGGCGGGAAGAGGUCGUCGGAGCUCCGCCACUCACCUACAUCCCCGCUCACUGUGACCGUCGCCAUUCUCCGAUGCCAUCUUCGCCGGAUUGCCUCCGUUAUUAGGUAAAAUUAAAUAGAACCGGUGAUUCGUUUUAAGAGCACGGAACGUCACAAAACGACUUUCGCAACAAAUUUCACCCUCGAGACUCGUUCACGCUUCAAGGGUUGACACCCCCACCCGUGGUUGCUAGCUACAACCUCGACCGAUCAAUCGAAGCGGGUGAUAAAUAUCUAAAACAAUUUUACGACAUCCAAUGAAGCAUCGUAGGGGGUAUCACCAAACGAGCUUUCAGUCAGAAGAUUAGUCAUGGAUUUCAGGUGACCUAGUUUAUCUAGUUUUUGUUAAAUCGGCCUAUCUGUUAAGGCAACUUUAUGAAUUUAUUAUUAUGAACUUUGUAUUCAAAUCUUAAAGUGUAAUGUAACUGCUAUGUUGUUAUUGUUGUAACUUGUGAUGUAUAUUCAAUUUACUUGUGAUCCAUGAAUUAAAUCGCACAGC